AACGCGAAGAACCUUACCUAUCCUUGACAUCCUCGGAACCUAGUAGAAAUAUUGGGGUGCCUUCGGGAGCCGAGAGACAGGUGCUGCAUGGCUGUCGUCAGCUCGUGUCGUGAGAUGUUGGGUUAAGUCCCGUAACGAGCGCAACCCUUAUCCUUAGUUGCCAGCGGGUAAAGCCGGGAACUCUAAGGAGACUGCCGGUGAUAAGCCGGAGGAAGGUGGGGACGAGGUCAAGUCAUCAUGGCCCUUACGGAUAGGGCUACACACGUGCUACAAUGGGCGGUACAAAGGGAAGCGAAACUGUGAAGUGAAGCGAAUCUCAAGAAAGCCGCUCGUAGUCCGGAUUGGAGUCUGCAACUCGACUCCAUGAAGUUGGAAUCGCUAGUAAUCGCGGAUCAGAACGCCGCGGUGAAUACGUUCCCGGGCCUUGUACACACCCACUACUA
rnacentral:rRNA from 1 species